GAUGAACGCUAGCGACAGGCUUAACACAUGCAAGUCGAGGGGCAGCAUAGAAGUAGCAAUACUUUGGUGGCGACCGGCGCACGGGUGAGUAACGCGUAUGCAACCUACCUAUCAGAGGGGAAUAACCCGGCGAAAGUCGGACUAAUACCGCAUAAAACAGGGGCACCGCGUGGUGAUAUUUGUUAAAGAAAUUCGCUGAUAGAUGGGCAUGCGUUCCAUUAGGUAGUUGGUGAGGUAACGGCUCACCAAGCCGACGAUGGAGAGGGGAACUGAGAGGUUGGCCCCCCACACUGGUACUGAGACACGGACCAGACUCCUACGGGAGGCAGCAGUGAGGAAUAUUGGUCAAUGGGCGGGAGCCUGAACCAGCCAAGUCGCGUGAAGGAAGAAGGAUCUAUGGUUCGUAAACUUCUUUUGCAGGGGAAUAAAGUGCAGGACGUGUCCUGUUUUGUAUGUACCCUGAGAAUAAGGAUCGGCUAACUCCGUGCCAGCCGCCGCAGUAACAC
rnacentral:rRNA from 1 species